rnacentral:rRNA from 1 species
AACGAACGCUGGCGGCAUGCCUAACACAUGCAAGUCGAACGAAGCCUUCGGGCUUAGUGGCGCACGGGUGCGUAACGCGUGGGAAUCUGCCCUUGGGUUCGGAAUAACAGUUAGAAAUGACUGCUAAUACCGGAUGAUGUCUUCGGACCAAAGAUUUAUCGCCCAGGGAUGAGCCCGCGUAGGAUUAGGUAGUUGGUGGGGUAAUGGCCUACCAAGCCGACGAUCCUUAGCUGGUCUGAGAGGAUGAUCAGCCACACUGGGACUGAGACACGGCCCAGACUCCUACGGGAGGCAGCAGUGGGGAAUAUUGGACAAUGGGCGAAAGCCUGAUCCAGCAAUGCCGCGUGAGUGAUGAAGGCCUUAGGGUUGUAAAGCUCUUUUACCAGGGAUGAUAAUGACAGUACCUGGAGAAUAAGCUCCGGCUAACUCCGUGCCAGCAGCCGCGGUAACAC